rnacentral:rRNA from 1 species
GCGAACUCCGGGCCAGUGGCCUGGGGAUGACGGGGGGUUAUAUCGGUAACCGGAUUUACUGGGUGUAAAGGGUGCGUAGGUGGGCGGGAAAGUCAGUGGGGAAAGCGCCGGGCUUAACCCGGAAACUGUCAUUGAUACUAUUUGUCUUGAAUACUUUGGAGGUAAGCGGAAUAUGUCAUGUAGCGGUGAAAUGCUUAGAGAUGACAUAGAACACCAAUUGCGCAGGCAGCUUACUACACAGUAAUUGACACUGAGGCACGAAAGCGUGGGGAUCAAACAGGAUUAGAUACCCGAGUCGUC